GCCACUCUGCGCAGCCCCAAAUAGCAGCGCGCUCACCUGCGGGGGGGCCUGCGUAUUAAUAACCCCCUUCCUCCUCCUCCUCCUCCUCCUCCUUUUCUUCCUCCUCCUCCUCCUCCUCAUCCCUCCGAGCCCUCCAGCAGCCGCACGCAGCUCCCCGAAGCCCCCAGCGAAGCCCCCACCGCUCGGUGCCGGCCGCCCCCCACCAUGGCCGGCCGCAGCUUUGGGCUCUCCCUGCUCCUCCACGCCUGCCUCUGCCUGGCCCAGCUCCGAGGGCCACCAGGAGAGCCCGGCCCGCGAGGCCCCCCCGGUCCGCCAGGAGUGCCGGGAGCGGAUGGCAUUGACGGUGCCAAGGGGGAGCCCGGAGCCCCCGGUCCCGAUGGGCCCCCAGGGAAGCCGGGCAUCGACGUGAGUACCCAGCCCUCGUCCCACGGCACCACCGCAAGGGCCUGGGGUCCCGCGGGGGGGCCGGGACCUGUCCCGGGCUCGUUUCUUCCAUCCACAAAUCCCCUGGCUCAGCAGGAACCCCCCCCGGUGGCACCCCCAUGGCCCCGUUGUCCCCUUCCCUGCAGAACGGGGGCUGCCACAGCCGGGGAGAGGGGCUGGAGCCCCGGCCCUGCAGUGGGGUACGGGGGGUGCGCGAUGGGUUUGGUGCCCCCCUCCCCGGUGCGGCGCUGAGCACGUCCACGUCUGCGAGCAUCAGACCUCCACCUGCUUACCAGUGGGAAACCCAAACUCUUUAGGGUCUCUGGACGUCAAUUCGUAAACCUUUUGGGGUUUAUUUAUUCCUCGGUAAUAAAUAAGGAUGGCAACGUCACCGCGGGCGUGCGUUAUUCCCCCAGGGUAACCCCCCCCGGCCCCAUCCCUGCCUGCUCUGCGCCGUGCAGAAUCAGCCCGCGCGGCAGGGGUAGCUCAAACCACCAGCUGGGGGGAUGAAACCCUCCGCAGGGAGCUGGGGCAGCUCUCGGGAUGCUGAGCGAGGGAUGGGGCGGGUCAGGAUUUGUCCCUGCUGGGACCGGGGCUAACGCAGCCGGGGGCUCGGAGCGUCGCCGGGAGCCUGCGGUGG
rnacentral:lncRNA from 1 species